GAUUUUUGUUGUUAGCUUUUUGCUAACGCAAUCUCAAGUGUUUUGAUUUGAGAAUAGAAUACAAGUAGGCCUAGGAAUAUAAUACAAUAUUAACGAACGCUCGAAAAGUAAAAAAUGUUGCUGUAACCAAACCCACUUUUUCCAGGUUGCUACAGUGUGAUCUCUCCGGAGGAAGGCUCGCACUUAAGGGGCUACAGAAUACCCUCACUCUCCUGCAACACAAACAGAACCAGAAACACGUCAGUGAUGCUGAGUGAACUGGAGCAGAUUGUUUACAUGGUAAAGUGCUCAUGAUGGUUCCCGCUCUAAGACGUCACUAUUCUGCAAGCUUCACCUCCGCUAUGCUUCACUGCCUUCCAGUCACACCAGGGUAAAACCCCUCUGACAAGCGUCAUUCAACUUUAUCUGCCCACAACUCAAAGCGAUACACCUUACCAGAAAUGACAGCUGAACACUCCCCUCGACAACCCACGUUUCUCAGGCAGGCCUCAAGCACAGCACAAGAAGACACUACAGGAAACGUGUCAUACGCAGGGAAAUUUCAGCUUCCUGUUUAUCAAGUAUAGUCGUGAUGAGCGAAACCGCAAAUUACACCAAACUCACACAGAGCCAGCAGACUACCUCUCAUUGACUUUAUGUAGGCCAAAUAUUUCAUAUCAACACGAUGCAGAUCAACAUGAGGAUUCUAAAUCUGAACGUACUUUCUUUCUUCUGCAAAACAAUGAUAUCAUUGACCCCCAUUGACUUCCACAACUUGCAGAGACAUUUCUCAUAAUAUCUUAUUUUGUGUUCCACAGAAAAAUAAGUCAUAUACAGUUUUUUUAAUGAGACGUGGGUGAAUAAAUCAUGACAGAAUUUUUAGUUUAGGGGUGAAUUAUAGCAUGUUUUGUUUUACUGUUUUACUGAGUGAACUUCCACCCGAACAGGCCUGAGAACCUCUGAGCUCUACACAAACAAGUUAUAACCUUUCCACAUCUACUGACGUCCGACCCACAUGCACAUUUCUGAAAAGCUACACAACCUCAAAAAUAAAUUGAUAUGCGGUUCCUGGUAAGUGGUGUGUGGCUGUUGGGGAGAAUCUCCCACUUUGCGUUUAACCUGAUGAAUUCAGGGGAAGUCGGAGGAGGUCAGUGUGUGUGUGAUUUAUCAGAUAACUGAUACUCAGAAGUGUUGCGGGGAAAUGUAAGGAGAGCGAGACAGUCCACAAGCUAAUAAUCAGACCUCUGUCUUCCUGAGAAAAUGACUAAUACAGUAUGUUCAUUUUGAAUUGUUUUCUUUGUAAAUUAGACUAGAACUCAUUCUCAAAGAAAAUGAUUGAAGUGUGCCAGUAGUAUUGUUCUUUUAA